rnacentral:tRNA from 1 species
CGGGCUAUAGCGCAGGUUGGUAGCGCGCUUCGUUCGGGACGAAGAGGUCGCGGGUUCAAAUCCCGCUAGCCCGA